GUCCUUUUGAAAUAAAUUUAAGGUCGAGCCUGCUCCCUGCUUGAGUAAAUAGCUGCAGUAUAAAUGACUGUACUAAGGUAGCAUAAUAACUUGUCUUUUAAAUGAAGACUGGCAUGAACGGUUUGACGAGGGUCAAUCUGUCUCGAUUAUAAAAGUUGAAUUUAGAAUGAUGGUGAAAAUCCCCUCAUGGGAAAGGGGGACGACAAGACCCUUUAGAUCUAAAAGAGUGAAAGUUAAAAUACAAUUAGUAUUUAAUUAUUUCUCGUAAUUGUUUGGGAAGAACCUAGAUGGAAACUUCAGAUGUAAAAAAGAAUAAUAAGUCAAAAUCAAGGAGUCAGGCACCCUAGAAACCUGAAAUUAGAAACUUAGUUACCUAAGGGAUAACAGCGUUAUUUGGUAUUGUAGAUCGCAUAUUUUACCACGUUUACGACCUCGAUGUUGAAUUAGGUUAAAAUAUUGAUGAAGAAGAUAAUGAAUUUUUAGUCUGUUCGACUAUUAAAAACCU
rnacentral:rRNA from 1 species